CCUACGGGAGGCAGCAGUGGGGAAUAUUGGGCAAUGGGCGCAAGCCUGACCCAGCAACGCCGCGUGAAGGAAGAAGGCUUUCGGGUUGUAAACUUCUUUUCUGAGGGACGAAGAAAGUGACGGUACCUCAGGAAUAAGCCACGGCUAACUAUGUGCCAGCAGCCGCGGUAAUACGUAGGUGGCAAGCGUUAUCCGGAUUUAUUGGGUGUAAAGGGCGUGUAGGCGGGAAAGCAAGUCAGAUGUGAAAACUCAGGGCUCAACCCUGAGCCUGCAUUUGAAACUGUGUUUCUUGAGUGCUGGAGAGGCAAUCGGAAUGCCGUGUGUAGAGGGGAAAUGCGUAGAUAUACGGAGGAACACCAGUGGCGAAGGCGGAUUGCUGGACAGUAACUGACGCUGAGGCGCGAAAGCGUGGGGAGCAAACAGGAUUAGAUACCCUAGUAGUC
rnacentral:rRNA from 1 species